rnacentral:misc_RNA from 1 species
GAUGAAGAACGCAGCGAAAUGCGAUAAGUAAUGUGAAUUGCAGAAUCCAGUGAAUCAUCGAAUCUUUGAACGCACAUUGCGCCCGCCAGCAUUCUGGCGGGCAUGCCUGUUCGAGCGUCAUUUCAACCCUCGACCUCCCUUUGGGGAAGUCGGCGUUGGGGACCGGCAGCACACCGCCGGCCCUGAAAUGGAGUGGCGGCCCGUCCGCGGCGACCUCUGCGUAGUAAACCAACUCGCACCGGAACCCCGACGUGGCCACGCCGUAAAACACCCAACUUCUGAACGUUGACCUCGAAUCAGGUAGGGCUACCCGCUGAACUUAAGCAUAUCAAUAAGCGGAGGA